rnacentral:RNase_P_RNA from 1 species
CAGGAGGUCCGGGCAGCCGCGUUUCCCUUGCGGGUUACGAGGAAAGUCCGGGCUCCACGAAACAAGGGUGGCGGGUAACGCCCGCCGUGGGCAACCACAGGGAAAGUGCCACAGAGAGUAUACCGCCGAUGGUCCCUAAAGGACUCAGGCAAGGGUGAAAGGGUGCGGUAAGAGCGCACCGGGGUUCUGGUAACAGCGCCCGCAUGGCAAACCCCACCCGGAGCAAGGCCAAAUAGGGGCCUCGCGCUGUCAAAGGCAGGGGCGUUUCGUCCCGAGAGGUCCGGGUUGGCUGCUUGAGCCAUGGAGCAAUCCAUGGCCUAGAUGAAUGGCUGCCCCUGCGGCGCUGGUCGGUAACGAUACCGCUCGCAGGACAGAACCCGGCUUACAGGGCCUCCUGGCAU